AGAGUUUGAUCAUGGCUCAGGAUGAACGCUGGCGGUAUGCCUAACACAUGCAAGUUGAACGGAAGCUUUCCAAGCUUUAGUAGCGGACGGGUGAGUAACGCGUGAGAAUUUACCUCUAGGAGGGGAACAACAGUUAGAAAUGACUGCUAAUGCCCCAUAUGCUUUAAUAGUGAAAUGGAUUUAUUCGCCUGGAGAGAAGCUCGCGUCUGAUUAGCUAGUUGGUGAGGUAAUGGCUCACCAAGGCGACGAUCAGUAGCUGGUUUGAGAGGAUGAUCAGCCACACUGGGACUGAGACACGGCCCAGACUCCUACGGGAGGCAGCAGUGGGGAAUUUUCCGCAAUGGGCGAAAGCCUGACGGAGCAACGCCGCGUGAGGGACGAAGGCCUCUGGGCUGUAAACCUCUUUUCUCAAGGAAGAAGAUAUGACGGUACUUGAGGAAUAAGCCACGGCUAAUUCCGUGCCAGCAGCCGCGGUAAUACGGGAGUGGCAAGCGUUAUCCGGAAUUAUUGGGCGUAAAGCGUCCGCAGGCGGCUUUUCAAGUCUGCUGUUAAAGCGUGGAGCUUAACUCCAUCAUGGCAGUGGAAACUGAAAGGCUUGAGUAUGGUAGGGGCAGAGGGAAUUCCCGGUGUAGCGGUGAAAUGCGUAGAUAUCGGGAAGAACACCAGUGGCGAAGGCGCUCUGCUGGGCCAUUACUGACGCUCAUGGACGAAAGCCAGGGGAGCGAAAGGGAUUAGAUACCCCUGUAGUCCUGGCCGUAAACGAUGAACACUAGGUGUCGGGGGAAUCGACCCCUUCGGUGUCGUAGCUAACGCGUUAAGUGUUCCGCCUGGGGAGUACGCACGCAAGUGUGAAACUCAAAGGAAUUGACGGGGGCCCGCACAAGCGGUGGAGUAUGUGGUUUAAUUCGAUGCAACGCGAAGAACCUUACCAGGGUUUGACAUCCUGCGAACCUCUUAGAAAUUUGAGGGUGCCUUCGGGAAUGCAGUGACAGGUGGUGCAUGGCUGUCGUCAGCUCGUGUCGUGAGAUGUUGGGUUAAGUCCCGCAACGAGCGCAACCCUUGUUUUUAGUUAUUUUUCUAGAAAGACUGCCGGUUAUAAGCCGGAGGAAGGCGGGGACGACGUCAAGUCAGCAUGCCCCUUACACCCUGGGCUACACACGUGCUACAUUGGGUAAGACAAUGAGUCGCGAGCCUGUGAAGGUCAGCAAAUCUAUAAACUUACUCUAAGUUCGGAUUGUAGGCUGUAACUCGCCUACAUGAAGUUGGAAUCGCUAGUAAUCGCUGGUCAGCCAUACAGCGGUGAAUCCGUUCCCGGGCCUUGUACACACCGCCCGUCACACCAUGGGAGCUGGUUAUACCCGAAGUCGUUACUCCAACCCUUGUGGAGGAGGACGCCGAAGGUGGGGCUAAUGACUGGGGUGAAGUCAUAACAAGGUAGCCGUA
rnacentral:rRNA from 1 species